rnacentral:rRNA from 1 species
UACAGAGGUCCCAAGCGUUGUUCGGAUUCAUUGGGCGUAAAGGGUGCGUAGGCGGCGCGGUAAGUCGGGUGUGAAAUCUCGGAGCUUAACUCCGAAACUGCAUUCGAUACUGCCGUGCUUGAGGACUGGAGAGGAGACUGGAAUUUACGGUGUAGCAGUGAAAUGCGUAGAUAUCGUAAGGAACACCGGUGGCGAAGGCGGGUCUCUGGGCAGUAACUGACGCUGAGGAGCGAAAGCGUGGUGAGCGAACAGG